AUUGAACGCUGGCGGCAGGCCUAACACAUGCAAGUCGAGCGGAGCGGCGGAAGGGGAAGGAAUGCCUAGGAAUCUGCCCGGUAGUGAGGGAUAAAGUACGGAAACGGGAGAGAAUACCGCAUACUAGCAGAUGAGCAUAGGUGGGAGUAGCUAGUUGGUGGGGUAAAGGCCUACCAAGGCGACGAUCCGAAACUGGUCUGAGAGGAUGAUCCGUCACACUGGAACUGAGACACGGUCCAGACUCCUACGGGAGGCAGCAGUGGGGAAUAUUGGACAAUGGGCGAAAGCCUGAUCCAGCCAUGCCGCGUGUGUGAAGAAGGUCUUCGGAUUGUAAAGCACUUUAAGUUGGGAGGCGUUACCAACAGAGUAAGCACCGGCUAACUUCGUGCCAGCAGCCGCGGUAAUAC
rnacentral:rRNA from 1 species